rnacentral:rRNA from 1 species
CCUACGGGAGGCAGCAGUGGGGAAUAUUGCACAAUGGGCGCAAGCCUGAUGCAGCGACGCCGCGUGAGGGAUGACGGCCUUCGGGUUGUAAACCUCUUUCAGUACAGACGCGGUAUGUACAGAAGAAGCACCGGCCAACUACGUGCCAGCAGCCGCGGUAAUACGUAGGGUGCGAGCGUUGUCCGGAAUUACUGGGCGUAAAGAGCUCGUAGGUGGUUUGUCGCGUUGUUCGUGAAAACCGGAGGCUCAACCUCUGGCGUGCGGGCGAUACGGGCAGACUGGAGUACUGCAGGGGAGACUGGAAUUCCUGGUGUAGCGGUGGAAUGCGCAGAUAUCAGGAGGAACACCGGUGGCGAAGGCGGGUCUCUGGGCAGUACUGACGCUGAGGAGCGAAAGCGUGGGGAGCGAACAGGAUUAGAUACCCUUGUAGUC